AGAGUUUGAUCCUGGCUCAGAAUGAACGUUGGCGGCGUGGAUUAGGCAUGCAAGUCGAGCGAGAACUGGUGAACGGCGGCUUCGGCCAAAGUGAUCCAGGGAAAGCGGCAAACGGGGUAGUAAUGCGUAGGUAACGUACCCCAAGGACCGGGAUAGCCUCGGGAAACUGAGGGUAAUACCGGAUAACCUCUCAGGGCGUGAUGUCCUGGGAGCAAAUGGUGUGAUUCCUCCUUGGGAGCGGCUUACGUGGUACUAGGUUGUUGGUGGGGUAAUGGCCUACCAAGUUGCCUAUGAUGCCUAGGGGGUGUGAGAGCAUGGCCCCCACCACUGGGACUGAGACACUGCCCAGACACCUACGGGUGGCUGCAGUCGAGAAUCUUCCGCAAUGGGCGCAAGCCUGACGGAGCGACGCCGCGUGCGGGAUGAAGGCCCUUGGGUUGUAAACCGCUGUCAGAGGGGAUGAAAUCGUUGGGGGCUAUCCCCCUUCGUUGACAAAGCCUCAGAGGAAGCGCGGGCUAAGUUCGUGCCAGCAGCCGCGGUAAUACGAACUGCGCAAACGUUAUUCGGAAUCACUGGGCUUAAAGGGUGCGUAGGCGGCUUGUCAAGUAGGGUGUGAAAUCUCUC
rnacentral:rRNA from 1 species